AUCGAACGCUGGCGGCAGGCUUAACACAUGCAAGUCGAACGGUUAAGGCCUUCUUGCUCUUGGCUUCAGCGGCGCACGUGUGUAACACGCCUGUAAAUCUGCCUGGACUUGGGGGUAAACGUCGGAAACUGGGCGCUAUUACCGCUUACUUCCUGUGCGGCAUGGUGGGGGUUGGUCGGCCCCGGCGGUUGUGGAUGGACUCGCGGCGUAUCAGCUAGUUGGUGGGGUAGAGGCCUACCAAGGCGACGACCGGUAACUGGCCUGAGAGGGUGACCGGUCACAAUGGGACUGAGAGACGGCCCAGACUCCUACGGGAGGCAGCAGUCGGGAGUAUUGCACAAUGGGGGCAAGCGUGAGGCAGCAACGCCGCGUGCGGGAUGACGGCCAUCGGGUUGUAAAGCGCAUUCAGCUGAGACGUAGCUUUUUGGACGUGUACAUGAAGAAGAAGAACGGCUUACUUAGGG
rnacentral:rRNA from 1 species